GACGAACGCUGGCGGCGUGCUUAACACAUGCAAGUCGAACGGUGAAGCUCCAGCUUGCUGGAGUGGAUCAGUGGCGAACGGGUGAGUAACACGUGAGCAACCUGCCCCUGACUCUGGAAUAAGCGCUGGAAACGGCGUCUAAUACUGGAUACGAGAAGGGUCCGCAUGGGCACUUUCUGGAAAGUUUUUCGGUUGGGGAUGGGCUCGCGGCCUAUCAGCUUGUUGGUGAGGUAAUGGCUCACCAAGGCGACGACGGGUAGCCGGCCUGAGAGGGCGACCGGCCACACUGGGACUGAGACACGGCCCAGACUCCUACGGGAGGCAGCAGUGGGGAAUAUUGCACAAUGGGCGAAAGCCUGAUGCAGCGACGCCGCGUGAGGGAUGACGGCCUUCGGGUUGUAAACCUCUUUCAGCAGGGAAGAAGCGAAAGUGACGGUACCUGCAGAAGAAGCACCGACUAACUACGUG
rnacentral:rRNA from 1 species